GAUGAACGCUAGCGACAGGCUUAACACAUGCAAGUUCGAGGGGCAUCAUGAGGUAGCAAUACCUCGACGGCGACCGGCGCACGGGCGAGUAACGCGUAUGCAACCUGCCCGAUACCGGGGUAUAGCCCAUGGAAACGUGGAUUAACACCCCAUAGUACUUUUAUCCUGCAUGGGAUAGGAGUUAAAUGUUCAAGGUAUCGGAUGGGCAUGCGUCCUAUUAGUUAGUUGGCGGGGUAACAGCCACCAAGACGAUGAUAGGUAGGGGUUCUGAGAGGAAGGUCCCCCACAUUGGAACUGAGACACGGUCCAAACUCCUACGGGAGGCAGCAGUGAGGAAUAUUGGUCAAUGGACGAAAGUCUGAACCAGCCAAGUCGCGUGAGGGAAGACUGCCCUAUGGGUUGUAAACCUCUUUUAUAAGGGAAGAAUAAGUUCUACGUGUAGAAUGAUGCCUGUACCUUAUGAAUAAGCAUCGGCUAACUCCGUGCCAGCAGCCGCGGUAAUACGGAGGAUGCGAGCGUUAUCCGGAUUUAUUGGGUUUAAAGGGUGCGUAGGCGGUUUAUUAAGUUAGUGGUUAAAUAUUUGAGCUAAACUCAAUUGUGCCAUUAAUACUGGUAAACUGGAGUACAGACGAGGUAGGCGGAAUAAGUUAAGUAGCGGUGAAAUGCAUAGAUAUAACUUAGAACUCCGAUAGCGAAGGCAGCUUACCAGACUGUAACUGACGCUGAUGCACGAGAGCGUGGGUAGCGAACAGGAUUAGAUACCCUGGUAGUCCACGCCGUAAACGAUGCUCACUGGUUCUGUGCGAUAUAUUGUACGGGAUUAAGCGAAAGUAUUAAGUGAGCCACCUGGGGAGUACGUCGGCAACGAUGAAACUCAAAGGAAUUGACGGGGGCCCGCACAAGCGGAGGAACAUGUGGUUUAAUUCGAUGAUACGCGAGGAACCUUACCUGGGUUUAAAUGGGAAAUGUCGUAUUUGGAAACAGAUAUUCUCUUCGGAGCGUUUUUCAAGGUGCUGCAUGGUUGUCGUCAGCUCGUGCCGUGAGGUGUCGGGUUAAGUCCCAUAACGAGCGCAACCCUUACCGUUAGUUGCUAGCAUGUAAUGAUGAGCACUCUAACGGGACUGCCACCGUAAGGUGAGAGGAAGGCGGGGAUGACGUCAAAUCAGCACGGCCCUUACACCCAGGGCUACACACGUGUUACAAUGGCCGGUACAGAGGGCCGCUACCAGGUGACUGGAUGCCAAUCUCAAAAGCCGGUCGUAGUUCGGAUUGGAGUCUGUAACCCGACUCCAUGAAGUUGGAUUCGCUAGUAAUCGCGCAUCAGCCAUGGCGCGGUGAAUACGUUCCCGGGCCU
rnacentral:rRNA from 1 species